AUUGAACGCUGGCGGCAGGCUUAACACAUGCAAGUCGAGCGAGCGGCGGACGGGUGAGCAAUGUCUGGGAAACUGCCUGAUGGAGGGGGAUAACUACUGGAAACGGUAGAUACUACCGCAUACAAUCAGAUGUGCCCAGGUGGGAGUAGCUAGUAGGUGGGGUAUUGGCUCACGUAGGCGACGAUCCCUAGCUGGUCUGAGAGGAUGACCAGCCACCCGGGAACUGAGACACGGCCCAGACUCCUACGGGAGGCAGCAGUGGGGAAUAUUGCACAAUGGGCGAAAGCCUGAUGCAGCCAAGCCGCGUGUGUGAAGAAGGCCUUCGGGUUGUAAAGCACUUUCAGCGAGGAAGCGUUACUCGCAGAGGAAGCACCGGCUAACUCCGUGCCAGCAGCCGCGGUAAUUC
rnacentral:rRNA from 1 species